rnacentral:rRNA from 1 species
UACGUAGGGUGCAAGCGUUGUCCGGAAUUAUUGGGCGUAAAGAGCUCGUAGGCGGUUCGUCGCGUCGGCUGUGAAAACCCGGAGCUCAACUCCGGGCCUGCAGUCGAUACGGGCGGACUUGAGUGUUGCAGGGGAGACUGGAAUUCCCGGUGUAGCGGUGAAAUGCGCAGAUAUCGGGAGGAACACCAAUUGCGAAGGCAGCUCGCUGGGACGUCACUGACGCUGAGACGCGAAAGCGUGGGGAGCAAACAGG